rnacentral:lncRNA from 1 species
AUGCCCUACGUCAAUAGCCCUCACCAGCUGCCGGACAACUCCGGUGAUGUAGAUAUCAAGCUGAAUGGGAAAACUGGCUUCCUGCCUAACUUCUUUAUCAAGUAUCUGAAGAAGCCCAUUCACAGGAGCUUGGUCACUAAUUCGUGUCCCAAUAUCAGAGCUGGGGUCCAGUUGAUAGAUGGAGACCUCCGAUCACCGAAUGCUGUAAUGCAGAUUGAUGAUUUGGCUGAAGUGGACUACUCCUUAAGUGGCUUGCCAGCAGUAUUCCAACCAUUCAUUGACCUGGACUCAAAGACCUGCAGCUAUUUUAAUAUAAACACAGAGAUAUUUAGCAGUAUCAUCCCUGAGGUAGCUAAAUAUUCAGUUACACCCUACCCAGUGAUGUUGAAGCUAAUGCCUACUGAAAUCCCUAUCAUCAGCUUACAGCAGAAUUCCUUCAUGGUAGAGAUUCAGGGCUCUGUGGAGGUGUUGGCCAUUCUGCCAGACUCAACCACCCAGUCUCUGUUCACACUGAACAUAGUAAGUACAACAAACAAG